rnacentral:rRNA from 1 species
AAUCAACGCUGGCGGCGUGCCUAACACAUGCAAGUCGAACGCGAAAGGGGCUUCGGCCCUGAGUAGAGUGGCGAACGGGUGAGUAACACGUGGGUGAUCUACCUUCGAGUGGGGGAUAACGUUCCGAAAGGAGCGCUAAUACCGCAUGACGUUCUGGGUUUGAAGACCUGGAAACCGAAGCCGGGGACCGCAAGGCCUGGCGCUAGAAGAGGAGCCCGCGCCUGAUUAGCUAGUUGGUGAGGUAAUGGCUCACCAAGGCAACGAUCAGUA